rnacentral:snRNA from 1 species
AUCGCUUCUCGGCCUUUUGGCUAAGAUCAAGUGUAGUAUCUGUUCUUAUCAGUUUAAUAUCUGAUACGUGCCCUACCCGGGCACAGUACCAAACUUGAAAACCUGUAUUUAAUGUAGUCUAGACUGUAU